UACGAAGGGGGCUAGCGUUGCUCGGAAUCACUGGGCGUAAAGGGUGCGUAGGCGGGUUUUAAGUCAGAGGUGAAAUCCUGGAGCUCAACUCCAGAACUGCCUUUGAUACUGAGAAUCUUGAGUAUGGGAGAGGUGAGUGGAACUGCGAGUGUAGAGGUGAAAUUCGUAGAUAUUCGCAAGAACACCAGUGGCGAAGGCGGCUCACUGGCCCAUAACUGACGCUGAGGCACGAAAGCGUGGGGAGCAAACAGG
rnacentral:rRNA from 1 species